rnacentral:rRNA from 1 species
AGUGAACGCUGGCGGUAGGCCUAACACAUGCAAGUCGAACGGCAGCACAGUAAGAGCUUGCUCUUACGGGUGGCGAGUGGCGGACGGGUGAGGAAUACAUCGUAAUCUACUUUUUCGUGGGGGAUAACGUAGGGAAACUUACGCUAAUACCGCAUACGACCUACGGGUGAAAGCAGGGGAUCUUCUGACCUUGCGCGAUUGAAUGAGCCGAUGUCGGAUUAGCUAGUUGGCGGGGUAAAGGCCCACCAAGGCGACGAUCCGUAGCUGGUCUGAGAGGAUGAUCAGCCACACUGGAACUGAGACACGGUCCAGACUACUACGGGAGGCAGCAGUGGGGAAUAUUGGACAAUGGGGGCAAGCCUGAUCCAGCCAUACCGCGUGGGUGAAGAAGGCCUUCGGGUUGUAAAGCCCUUUUGUUGGGAAAGAAAAGCAGCAGGUUAAUACCCCGCUGUUCUGACGGUACCCAAAGAAUAAGCACCGGCUAACUUCGUG